rnacentral:lncRNA from 10 species
AGUCGGCCUGUGGCCGGCCAUGUUCAUGAGGGCGCGUCCCUUGGCACCCCUGUAGCCGCUAUGUUUCCCACGCCCGUGGCAGGCCUGAGAGAUUAUGUUUGCGGGGGGUGCUUUUUUUGUAGCUUCUGUGUUCGCCAUAUUUGAAAGGGGCAGACGGCCAUGUUCGUGAACGGCGCUUCCCUUGGUGCACCUGUGGCCGCCAUGUUUGAGCGAGCGUCUCUGAAUUGGGAUGCAUCUGACAGCAAGUGUGGCAUCCGGGCUGCAGUUGCCGUUGUCUGCUCACAUGUGAAUUAAAAAAACAAUCUCAGCAUAU